ACUCAAAUGAAUUGACGGGGGCCCGCACAAGCGGUGGAGCAUGUGGUUUAAUUCGAUGCAACGCGAAGAACCUUACCUGCCCUUGACAUCUACGGAAUCCUGCAGAGAUGCGGGAGUGCCGCAAGGAACCGUAAGACAGGUGCUGCAUGGCUGUCGUCAGCUCGUGUUGUGAGAUGUUGGGUUAAGUCCCGUAACGAGCGCAACCCCUGUUCCCAGUUGCCAGCGAGUAAAGUCGGGGACUCUGGGGAGACUGCCGGUGAUGAACCGGAGGAAGGCGGGGACGACGUCAAGUCAUCAUGGCCUUUAUGGGCAGGGCUACACACGUGCUACAAUGGGGCGUACAGAGGGAAGCCAACCCGCGAGGGGGAGCCGAUCCCACAAAGCGCCUCUUAGUCCGGACUGGAGUCUGCAACUCGACUCCACGAAGUCGGAAUCGCUAGUAAUCGCGAAUCAGAAUGUCGCGGUGAAUACGUUCCCGGGCCUUGCACACACCGCCCGU
rnacentral:rRNA from 1 species